GAAGCGCCGGUAAACGGCGGGAGUAACUAUAACUCUCUUAAGGUAGCGUAAUACCUUGCCGCUUAAUUGGCGGCUUGCAUGAAUGGUGUAACGAGAGCCCUACUGUCCCUAACUGGAACCUAGUGAAACCACUUCCUGGUGGAUAUGCCAGGGUCCCCCGAUGGGAAGCGAAGACCCCAUGGAGUUUUACUACAGCCUGUCGUUGUCGCUUGGAUUUUGAUGUAGAGCGUAGUUGGUAGCCAUCGAAGCAAUCUCGUCAGGGAUUGUGGAGGCGAAUAUGGAACACCAACCUUCUAGGUCUAAGCGACUAACCAACAUUGUUAUUGUUGGGACACCGGUAGGUAGGUAGUUUGGCUGGGGCGGUACGCCCUCGAGAAGAUAUCGAGGGCGCCCUAAGGUUGACUCAGGUGGGUCAGGAAUCCACCGUAGAGGGCAAGGCCAAAAGUCAGCCUGACUGGAUAUUGCACCACAAGAUAUCCAGAGGCGAAAGCCGGGCCUAGCGAACUCCAAUGCCUCCUUGAUGGGGGCUUGGACUAACAGAAAAACUACCCUGGGGAUAACUGAGUCGUCCGGGGCAAGAGCCCACAUCGACCCCCGGGCUUGCUACCUCGCUGUCGGUUCUUUCCAUCCUGGGUCUGCAGCAGGACCCAAGGGUGGGGUUGUUCGCCCAUUAAAGGAGAACGUGAGCUGGGUUUAGACCGUCGUGAGACAGGUUAGUUGCUAUCUAUCGGGGGUGUUGGUCGUCUGAAGGGAAGGUAGUCCCAGUACGAGAGGAACAGACUGCCGUGGCCUCUGGUGUACCAGUUGUCUGAUAAGGCAUCGCUGGGUAGCUACGCCAUAGUUAAUAAGGGCUGAAAGCAUCUAAGCCCGAAAUAACCCCUGAAAAUAGACUACCACUCUCUAAUAGAAGAAGGGGAUAGGUGACUAUAACUUUAAUUAGAGACGAAGACACGGAUAGAAGAUCCGGUUGAUAGGUCGGUAGUGUAAGUACCAAGCCUUCGGGCGAGGUAUUCAGCUUACCGAUACUAAUAGUCUAAGGUUCAUAACUC
rnacentral:rRNA from 1 species